CGCUUUCAAAAAUCGAUGUAUUAUUCUAAUUAAAUCCAAUAGAAUCCGCGUCCAAUAACCUCUCUAGAAUCUGAUUCAAAUACGAAAUCCGCGAAGAAACAGAAGAAUAAUCAAACACGAGAACUGCGAAACGAACGAGACCCGCGCACCAAUUGUCGGUGGAUUCAACCCAAACGGGCCGAAAUCAAUUCGAACCUUGUUGGAUUCAACCCAAACAGGCCGGAAUCAACCCGAACAGACUGAUUUCAGGUCGAUUCAAGUAGCUGGUUCUAGUUUCGGCGACAGAGAUGGGUUUAAUUGAGUUUUCCAGUGAAUUUCGAAUUAAAAUCGGAAUGGGUGAAGUGAUUUCCGGUGAAGAAUGACCGAAAAACUCGAUUUAUGGUCGAUUUCUUCUCUCUCGAACUCUCUCACAUCUGCCUUCACUGUUUUCGAUCAAACUCUCUGACCCCAAUCUCUCUGUGUGUGUGCGCGCGUAUAUGUGGAUUAUUGUGAUGCUGUGAGGAUGUUGAUGUGUUUAUCUGUGUAUGCCAAUCAGUGAGAGUGAAGCUUUUCCCUCUUUCUGUUUUCUCUAUCUAUGCGUGAAUUCUCCUUGGAAAUUGUGUGUGUCGUGCCUUUCUUCUUCU
rnacentral:lncRNA from 1 species